CCCCCCACGCCCCCGCACCUCACACCACCCCACUCCCUUGUGGGAUGUGUGUGAUAUCCCUCAGGCACUCCUGGCUGCCCAAGAACAAAGGAAAGGAAAGAAAACAAAUGGUUAAGUGAUACAGAUCACAGUCCUACAGUACGCGAAUAUCCAUCAGUUUACAAAUAUCUUAGUAAAUUACAAGAAAAGGCAAUCUUAUCAAUAGCCUAAUCUUCAGAAACCUGUAGAUUCAGUUUCCUAGAGCCCCAACAUCAUCACCCCUCCAUAGUGAUAUGGGGACCAAAGGCAAGAAGGAAAUGGCAGGUAGAAAUAAAUUUCCUUAUAACCUGCAUCCCAUAGACAAAUACUUAAGGCAAAUAUAGAGUAUAACAUUUCUUCAGGAAACCCCUACUGUCCUAAUGUUAAUUCCUUACUAGAGGGAAAACAACCUUAGCUUGACAACAGCAAGGCCUCAGGUAUCCUAGGAGUCGUCUUUAACAUAUCAAAGUCCUUUUGGAAGCCUUCCUUUUGCCUUUACCUCCCCAACCCCAUGUUAUAUAACCAGUCAUUCUUCACAACUCCAGCACAGCUCUUUCUGCCCACUGGUCCUGUCCCUGUGCUUUAAUAAAAUCACCUUUUUUGCACCAAAGACAUCUUCAAGAAUUCUUUCUUGGCCAUCAGCCCCAAACCUCAUGAACCCCCACCAUCACCCCAAAACCUCAUCACUAAUAGCCUACAACCUAAACCCAGCAACUUCUGGCUGUAAAAGAGUUCUACAUUUCAUUGUGACUACUGCAGCAGUGUGUGUGUGUUUUCUCAAACUGUACUGUAGUUAGGAUCCUUGUCUUUUUUUAUCAUUUUAUUUGGUUUUAGAACCUGGAACUAUGCCGUCUUGACAUUUAUUUUACUUGUCACUCUAUAAUUCUGGUAGGCCAUAUCUGAAUUUUCAUUCUUUAGAAUUCUACAGAGCCUUGUCCAUGUACCUUCUUUUACAAACAUUUCUCAUUAAGUGUGUGUGUGUGUGUGUGUGUGUGUGUGUGUGUGUGUGUGUGUGUGUGUAUGAUAGUUAUUUAAGGGAAAAUCAAAGGUCCUGCCUGAUGUGGGAAACAAAGGCAGAAGGAAAUGUACAUAAAAUUAAAUUUACUUAUAACCUGCAGCCCAAUGACAAAUACUUGAGGCUGGCAGAGUAUAUAUAAAUAUAUAUAUUCAUUCCUCCAGAAACUCCCUACUGUCUUAAUGUUAAUGCUUUUUGCUAGAAGGAAAAACAACCUUAGCUUGACAACAGCAAGGCCUCAGGUAUCCUAGGAGUCGUCUUUAACAUAUGAAAGUCCUUUUUGAAACUUCCCCCCUGGCCUUUACCUCCCCAACUCCCAAGUAUGUAAUCAGUCACUCCUUGCAAUCUCACAAUCUCAGGGCAGCUUUUUCUGCCCACAGGUCCUGUCCCCAGGCUUUAAUAAAACCACCUUUUUGCAUCA
rnacentral:lncRNA from 1 species